AAGAAAACACUUUCAAAAGAGGGAGAAAGAAACCAUAGUCAUUCGUGGUCUCCUUCAUGCGCCUCGCAGCAUACCCUGUCAGUAACCGCGGCAGGGUUUGACGUUUUGGACUUCCCACCGAAAUGACGGACCAAAGAAGUGGCCGAAUCAGCGCUUAUUUCAGUGCUUCGAAGCCCAUUCUUUCUCGAAAAAGACCUUCGGAUUCUUCUCCCCUUCAAUGUCACGGAAUCAAGAAUGCUGGUGAUGUUGGUUCCGGUUCUGUUGCGAAGAGAGUUCCCCUUGCGGAGGUACCGCUGAACAUGUUCAAUGCGGCUGGGAAUUACCAUGGUCCAUCGUCUGAGUCAAAUUACGGCAGCUUCAAUUCAAGGAAUGUGUCUGUUUCUGCACUUGUUUCCGCGAAUGAGAAUCUGUGUCAAUCUUUGUUUGAAACUCCAAGGAGAGAACCUGAAGGCUCUAAACCAAAAGAGCUGGAUUAUUUUGCCGCGAGUGGCCUUCUUGAUGACGACUUUGAUGACUCUGUUUUGGAGCAGAUUGACAUUUUGGUCGAGCAGAAAUCUGCAGAGAAAGCAGUAGAGAAAGCAGUAGAGCAGCAUUUAGAUUGUAGAUGUGACGAGAAAGUUUUGAACCAGACCAAUAUUGCUGGUGAGGUUAGUCUGAGUUCAGGAUGCAGUACUGUUUCUGUGGGGUUAGGAAAUGGUCACCUGCUUAACUCUGGGGUUGAUCUACAUACCAAACAAGACGAAGUGGAUACAAGCUUGCAAGGUUUAUUAAAUAGCAACAGCAGCAUGCCUGAGGAAUAUUUGAAAUACUUGCAGUCCCUAAAUGACAGGCAAAGAGAAGCAGCUUGCACUGAUAUUUCAACCCCUUUAAUGAUUGUAGCUGGUCCAGGAAGUGGAAAGACAUCCACAAUGGUAGGGCGUGUAUUGAUGCUCCUCAAUGAGGGCAUUAGUCCAUCAAACAUUCUGGCUAUGACAUUCACAACAGCAGCUGCUUCUGAAAUGAGAGAACGUAUAGGAGCUAUAGCUGGGAAGACAACAGCUAAAGAACUUACUAUCAGUACUUUUCAUUCAUUUUCCUUGCAACUUUGUCGUUCACAUGGAGAAAAGUUGGGUCGUACAUCUGAAUUCUAUAUUUAUGGACAGGGCCAGCAGCGAAAUGCAAUUAUUGAGGCCGUCAGAUUGUUAGAAAAUGAAAAGUGUAGAAAUAAAGAUGGUGCAUUAUUAAUGGGUGAUUUAUCCAAUAGUGUAGAGAAUCCUAAACAGUUCAAGGAUAAGGCAAAGAAAUGGCAAAAGUUUGUGGCUCAGGCCAAAGCUUCGGGAAGAACUUCUGCAGAAUAUCGUGCAAUGGGCAAUGAAAUUGGAGCAGAAAUUCUUGAGAAUUACAACAACAUAUUAAAAUCUUGUAAUGCUCUGGAUUAUCAUGACUUGAUCAGCUGUUCUGUGAUGCUACUCAGUGAUUUUCCUGAAGUUUUGAAAGAAUCUCAGGAUUCAUGGAAAGCUAUUGUUAUAGAUGAAUUCCAAGAUACUAGUGCCAUGCAAUACAAGUUUCUAAAGAUACUUGGAUCUCAUCAUAAAAUAACAAUUGUUGGUGAUGACGAUCAGUCUAUUUACAGUUUCAACGGAGCUGACAUUUCUGGAUUUACAUCAUUUCGAAAUGAUUUUCCAAAAUACAAAGAGAUUAGGCUUAACAAAAACUAUCGAUCCACACGUUGCAUUGUUGAGGCUGCAUCUUGUCUUAUUCAAAACAAUUCCAAGCGAAGUCAGCUGAAGAAUGUUCUUACCGAUAACUCUUCUGGUUCUAAGAUAGUUAUGAAGGAGUGUCACAAUGAGGAUGCACAAUGCGCAUUUGUUGUUGACAAAAUCUUAGAAAUGUCAUCAGAUCAUUCAACUGAUAACUGUUGUUUUGGCAACGUUGCAAUUCUCUACCGUAGGCAGGUAUCAGGGAAAGCCUUCCAAAUGGCUUUCCGUGAUAGGAAAAUACCAUUUAACAUUCACGGUGUGGCUUUUUACAGAAAAAAGGUAGUCAGAACUAUCAUUGCCAUGCUUCGAACGACCCUGCCUGGUUGUGAUGAUGGGUCAUAUAGUCGAGUAUUCAAGGCUUUAUUGCCGUUGGAGAAAGAUAAAAAAAAGAGGAUAAUUGACCAUAUCAACAAAAUAUCAACAAUUAGAAAAUGUAGUUUCUUGUCGGCUGCCUCUGACAUAUUUAGUGCAAAGAUUUCUGGUACCUUUAAAAGAAGUGAGCUUACUCAUGGAAGGAAGGUUUUAACGACUCUAGAGAUGAUAUCAAAACUUACCCAGAGGGAAAAAUCAAUCUCAGCUAUCAUAACUUCUGUGGCAAACAUGAUACCCGAGAAAUACCUUCUUGAGCAACGGGCAAUCACUGAUGUUGAUGGAGGCACAUUCCUCAAUGAAGACUAUGACAUGAGAUCUGUUCUUCAAUACCUAUUGGACGAUGUCUCUGAGUUUCUAUCCACUAAAUUAGUUGAGGUAGAAGGGGAAAGGGAAAUAUCAGAAGAUAAGGGCUGCACUUUUGUUUUAAAAGCAUUCAUUGAUUAUUUAUUUGAACGUGAGAGAGAAAAUUGUCGUGCUCGAAGGAGGAACAAUGAAAACUCUGUGACAUUGACUACCAUUCAUCAGGCAAAAGGUUUAGAGUGGGAUGUUGUCUUCAUAGUUAAGGCAAAUGACUCUGAGAUCCCGCUGUUACACAAUUUCAAGGGUACUGUAAAGGACACUGCAGCCUUGGUUGAGGAAGAAAGACGCUUGUUGUAUGUUGCAAUGACUCGUGCUCGGCAGAAGCUUUUUAUGCUUUACGUAUUGAUGGACUCAAACUGGCAGAUACUUCAACCGUCAAGAUUUCUGAAAGAAAUCCCCCGUAGUCUUAUAGAAGUCCAGGGUGAAACAAAUUUACAAGAACUACAGAUAAAGCACGAAGCUUUUCAAAAGGAACCUACCCCCUGUACCACUGACUUGUUGAUAAAAGAGAGACCAACUGAAGCAGAUGUGGUCCCUAUGCCUCCUGAAAUACUUGAUAAUCAUUCCAGUGACAUUUCCAAUGAGCUUGCACAAUUUGAUGAGGCAAACAGUGGAAAUGAUUUCUUAAGAAGAUUUAGUGUUGAGGACAGAUCUAUUGUUUCCCAUUUAUUCCAUCAAUGGGCCAAAAAAAAAGCAUUUCAAGAUCCAAAGAGAUUGCUUGACAAGGUUAGUUUUGUAAUUGAUGAACGCCUGAGACAGAAGAGAAACAAAAACAAGGACUUAUUGAAUACAUUAAAACCUUGCUUAAGCUGUGACGAAGCAUUUCAGUAUGCUCAAUAUGUUUUGAGAUGGGAGCAGAUUCCUGCUGAUAAACGUGCUCAUCUUAUGAGAGAAAAACAGGAAUCUGUUAGAAGACUUGUUAGGAUGCGGCAACGGGCAACACAGAAUUAGUGAUUGUAUACCUGUAGGUACUAGAUUGAUUCAUUUAUAAAUAGGUGCGAGUGGAUCAACACGAUCCUAUAAUAAUUGGUCUAAAUAAGUCGAUACACUAAACCAACCUUAUGCAAAGCAUUUAUGUAAUUUUCCCCCUGCUAUUGAGUGAUAUGCAUAACAAGUAUUUUCGUGGAUUGAGGUACGUAUAUAGUAACCAUGAUUUUCGUUGUUUUCAUAUUGAAUAUAAGAUUUUGGAGUAUUUUUUCACUUUUCAGGAACAUUUUCUUAAAUUAAAGAUUGAGAAUGCAAUGGGUUCUGCAACACCAACUGUCAAGCAGAUCUCAUAUUUGAAAAAACUGGGUUGCACUGUGACCCCUACAUCUCGCCUUCAUGCGUCUCAUCUUAUUGAGCAGUACAAAUCACU